GUGGUCAGGUAGAGAAUACCAAGGAGAUCGAGAGAAUCGUGGUUAAGGAACUCGGCAAAAUGCCCCCGUAACUUCGGGAGAAGGGGGGCCAUCCACUUAUUAGGACUUGCUCCGAAAGGGUGUGGUGGCCGCAGAGACUAGUGGGUAGCGACUGUUUACUAAAAACACAGGUCCGUGCCAAGUCGCAAGACGAUGUAUACGGACUGACGCCUGCCCGGUGCUGGAAGGUUAAGGGGAACUGUUAA
rnacentral:rRNA from 1 species